rnacentral:rRNA from 1 species
UACGGGGGGGGCAAGCGUUGUUCGGAAUUACUGGGCGUAAAGGGCUCGUAGGUGGCCAACUAAGUCAGACGUGAAAUCCCUCAGCUUAACUGGGGAACUGCGUCUGAUACUGGAUGGCUUGAGUUUGGGAGAGGGAUGCGGAAUUCCAGGUGUAGCGGUGAAAUGCGCAGAUAUCAGGAAGAACACCCGUGGCUAAGGCGGCUCUCUGGGACGGUACUGACGCUGAGGCACGAAGGUCAGGGGAGCAAACGGG